GGGGAUAUACCUCAGUUGGUAGAGGGCUUGCCUUGCAUGCGCAAGUUCCUGGGUUCAAUCCCCAGCACUUCCA
rnacentral:tRNA from 1 species